CAAAGAAUGGUUUAAGUAUAAGAAUACUAGCUUUGGGGGCUAGUGGUGAGAGUUAAAGUCUCUUUUCUUUGA
rnacentral:tRNA from 1 species